UGGGGAAUCUUCCGCAAUGGGCGAAAGCCUGACGGAGCAAUGCCGCGUGGAGGUAGAAGGCCCACGGGUCGUAAACUCCUUUUCUCGGAGAAGAAGCAGUGACGGUAUCCGAAGAAUAAGCAUCGGCUAACUCUGUGCCAGCAGCCGCGGUAAGACAGGGGAUGCAAGCGUUAUCCGGAAUGAUUGGGCGUAAAGCGUCUGUAGGUGGCUCCUUAAGUCCGCUGUCAAAUCCCAGGGCUCAACCCUGGACAGGCUGUGGAAACUACUAAGCUGGAGUACGGGAGGGGGAGGGGGAAUGUCCGGUGGAGCGGUGAAAUGCGUAGAGAUCGGAAAGAACACCAAAGGCGAAGGCACCCUGCUGGGCCGACACUGACACUGAGAGACGAAAGCUAGGGGAGCGAAUGGG
rnacentral:rRNA from 1 species